rnacentral:misc_RNA from 1 species
AACCAUAGAAACCUGCGGAGUACCUGCGGAAGGAUCAUUACCGAGUGUGGCCCCAUUUUUAAAACAAAUAGGGGUACCUCCCGUCCUUUGCAGGGCCCUUUGGGGCUUUUUGAACUUUGCUUCGGCGGGUUUUAUCCCGCCGGAACACCCUCAAGAAAAUCUUUUUAAAAAUACUGUCGUCUGAGCAUUUACAAAAUAAAACAAAACUUUCAGCAACGGAUCUCAGAUCGGAAGAGCACA